AAAAGAAACCAACUGGCAUUCCCUCAGUAACGGCGAGUGAACCGGGAGAAGCCCACCGGUGAAGAAUCGCAAGAUUCGGUGUCCGGUUAGGAUUGGUGCUUAGUUCAUAUUCAAAGUGACUAGAAAUCUGUUGGAAAACAGUUUCAUAGAGGGUGAAAAACCCGUAACAGUUGCUUAGUUGUGGACAUCAUGGGCCCAAUCUAACGAGUAGAGCUAUUUGAAAGUGUAGCUCGAAGUGGAGAUAUGUCUCUCCAAAGGCUAAAUAUAAUUGCAAGUCCGAUAGCGAACAAGUACCGUGAGGGAAAGUUGAAAAGCACUCUGAAGAGAGAGUGAAAAGGACGUGAAACUGUUGAAGGGGAAUUGAAGGGAACGUUAUUGUGUCCAUUGCCGUCAAUUUAUUGAUGGCUUGCGGAUAGUGGUGUUGCUUUUGAAAGCCUUAGAUAAGCGCUGCAGUCACCAAUCGUCUUCGGACUUUUGGUUGAUGCAAGUGUUGAACUUGGAUUAUAUACAUCCUUGAUUUGUGCAAGUAAAAUCAACGUCACGAUCAGUGUUCUCUACAACCCGUCUUGAAACACGGACCAAGGAGUUUGAGUUGCUCGCAAGUGAAUGUGCUUCUUGAAAGCAUAAACGCGGAAUGAAAGUAAAUGUCAUUUUGCUUCGGCAACUUGGCUAUAUGUGGUGAUAGCACUAGAACAGUGUCUGGCAACCACGGGCGGUCUAACCACUUCGGUGUGUGAUCGACCUUUAGCGAGUAGCUCAAGACCCGAAAGAUGGUGAUCUAUGCUCGGGCAGGGCGAAGCCACGGGAAACCAUGGUGGAGGCCCGAAGCGGUUCUGACGUGCAAAUCGAUCGUCUGACCUGAGCAUAGGGGCGAAAGACUAAUCGAACCAUCUAGUAGCUGGUUUCCUCCGAAGUUUCCCUCAGGAUAGCGAAGGCUUAUGCGAAUCUGCGAAAGCAGUUUCAUUGGGUAAAGCGAAUGAUUAGAGGUCUGGGGAAAUUUACUUUCUUCACCUAUUCUCAAACUUUAAAUCGGUGAGAUGUCCUUGUGACUUAAUUGCACUCGGACUUUGAAUGCAAGCCUUCAGUGGGCCGUUUUUGGUAAGCAGAACCGGCGAUGUGGGAUGAACCAAAUGCUUGGUUAAGGCGCCUAACUACUUGCUCAUGAGCAACCACAAAAGGUGUUGAUUGAUAUAGACAGCAGGACGGUGGCCAUGGAAGUUGGAAUCCGCUAAGGAGUGUGUAACAACUCACCUGCCGAAUCAAUCAGCCCUGAAAAUGGAUAGCACUAGAGCUCGUGGCCUAUACUGAGCCGUGAAUGUCAACUUCUGUCAUAUCGCAGCUUUUUGUUGUGUAAGAUGGAAUAUGAUUAAUGCGUAGUCGUCAGAUUGCGUGGAUCAUACAUUCAUGAGUAGGAGGACGCAGUAAUUGCAUAAAAGGAUAUGCGUGAGCAUGUUCCUUAAGCGAUUGCUGGAGCAGAUCUUGGUGGAAGUAGCAAGUACUCAAAUGAGAACUUUGAGGACUGAAGUGGGUACGGUUUUCAUGUGAACAGCAUUUGAACAUGAGUUAGUCGAUUCUGAGAGACAGGCUAAUGCCAAAGUCAUGUAUUGUUAGUUUGCUCUAGCAACUACUUUGUCUCGAAAGAGCAUCGGGUUAAAAUUCCCGAACUGCAUCUAUCGGAUUAAGAGGCGGCAACGCUAGUGUAUUCCAAUUGGAUUGUAUGGCA
rnacentral:rRNA from 1 species